rnacentral:rRNA from 1 species
GAAUUCACUAGUGAUUAGAGUUUGAUCAUGGCUCAGGGAUGAACGCUAGCGGCAGGCCUAACACAUGCAAGUCGAGGGGUAACAGGGAUUGCUUGCAAUCCGCUGACGACCGGCGCACGGGUGCGUAACGCGUAUGCAACCUACCUUUUACAGGGGUAUAGUCAAGAGAAAUUUUGAAUAACACCCCAUACGAUCAUCCUUACACCUGUAAAGAUGAAGAAAACUCCGGUGGUAAAAGAUGGGCAUGCGUCCUAUUAGUUAGUUGGUGAGGUAACGGCUCACCAAGACUGCGAUAGGUAGGGGUCCUGAGAGGGAGAUCCCCCACACUGGUACUGAGACACGGACCAGACUCCUACGGGAGGCAGCAGUGAGGAAUAUUGGACAAUGGAGGCAACUCUGAUCCAGCCAUGCCGCGUGCAGGAAGACUGCCCUAUGGGUCGUAAACUGCUUUUAUACAGGAAGAAACCUUGGUACGUGUACUAAGCUGACGGUACUGUAAGAAUAAGGAUCGGCUAACUCCGUGCCAGCAGCCGCGGUAAUACGGAGGAUCCAAGCGUUAUCCGGAAUCAUUGGGUUUAAAGGGUCCGCAGGCGGUUUUUUAAGUCAGAGGUGAAAUCCUAUCGCUCAACGAUAGAACUGCCUUUGAUACUGAAAGACUUGAGUUAUUGUGAAGUGGUUAGAAUAUGUAGUGUAGCGGUGAAAUGCAUAGAUAUUACAUAGAAUACCGAUUGCGAAGGCAGAUCACUAACAAUACACUGACGCUGAGGGACGAAAGCGUGGGUAGCGAACAGGAUUAGAUACCCUGGUAGUCCACGCCGUAAACGAUGGAUACUAGCUGUUUGACCAACAUUGGUUGGUUGAGUGGCUAAGCGAAAGUGAUAAGU